AUUAUGUAAUCUGUAUGAAACUAAAGCGAGGUACAGUCUUUCCCGUAUCUGAGCUCUUUAUAUGCAGUCACCUGCGUGCAAACGCCCUCACCUAGAUACAAAAAAUAGAUUAAAAAAAAAAUCAAGAUUCAUCUAAUUUUCAUUGUUUUUGAAAGAAGACCUGCUAU